rnacentral:rRNA from 1 species
GACGAACGCUGGCGGCGUGCUUAACACAUGCAAGUCGAGCGGUAAGGCCCUUUCGGGGGUACACGAGCGGCGAACGGGUGAGUAACACGUGGGUGACCUGCCCUCAGCUCUGGGAUAAGCCCGGGAAACUGGGUCUAAUACUGGAUAUGACUCCACGGUGCAUGCCGUGGGGUGGAAAGCCUUGUGCGGCUGAGGAUGGGCCCGCGGCCUAUCAGCUUGUUGGUGGGGUGAUGGCCUACCAAGGCGACGACGGGUAGCCGGCCUGAGAGGGCGACCGGCCACACUGGGACUGAGACACGGCCCAGACUCCUACGGGAGGCAGCAGUGGGGAAUCUUGCGCAAUGGGCGAAAGCCUGACGCAGCGACGCCGCGUGAGGGAUGACGGCCUGGU